rnacentral:rRNA from 1 species
GCUCAACCGGGGAGGGUCAUUGGAAACUGGGGAACUUGAGUGCAGAAGAGGAGAGUGGAAUUCCACGUGUAGCGGUGAAAUGCGUAGAGAUGUGGAGGAACACCAGUGGCGAAGGCGACUCUCUGGUCUGUAACUGACGCUGAGGCGCGAAAGCGUGGGGAGCGAACAGGAUUAGAUACCCUGGUAGUCCACGCCGUAAACGAUGAGUGCUAAGUGUUAGAGGGUUUCCGCCCUUUAGUGCUGCAGCAAACGCAUUAAGCACUCCGCCUGGGGAGUACGGUCACAAGACUGAAACUCAAAGGAAUUGACGGGGGCCCGCACAAGCGGUGGAGCAUGUGGUUUAAUCCGAAGCAACGCGAAGAACCUUACCAGGUCUUGACAUCCUCUGACAACCCUAGAGAUAGGGCUUCCCCUUCGGGGGGCAGAGUGACAGGUGGUGCAUGGUUGUCGUCAGCUCGUGUCGUGAGAUGUUGGGUUAAGUCCCGCAACGAGCGCAACCCUUGAUCUUAGUUGCCAGCAUUCAGUUGGGCACUCUAAGGUGACUGCCGGUGACAAACCGGAGGAAGGUGGGGAUGACGUCAAAUCAUCAUGCCCCUUAUGACCUGGGCUACACACGUGCUACAAUGGGCAGAACAAAG